UUAAAUUGAAGAGUUUGAUCAUGGCUCAGAUUGAACGCUGGCAGCCUAACACAUGCAAGUCGAACG
rnacentral:rRNA from 1 species